UACGGAGGGUGCGGAGCGUUGUCCGGAAUCACUGGGCGUAAAGGGCGCGUAGGCGCGGCGGGCAGUCAACGGUGAAAGCUUGGGGCUCAACCCCGAGUCGGCCGUCGAUACUCCCGGGCUGGAGCACUGUAGAGGCAGGUGGAAUUCCGGGUGUAGCGGUGGAAUGCGUAGAGAUCCGGAAGAACACCGGUGGCGAAGGCGGCCCGCUGGGCAG
rnacentral:rRNA from 1 species